rnacentral:rRNA from 1 species
GCUCCAAUAGGGAUAUUAAAGUUGUUGGGGUUAAAAAGCUCGUAGUUGAACUUUGGGCCUGGCUGGCCGGUCCGCCUUAACGGCGUGUACUGUCGGCUGGGUCUUUCCUUCUGGGAACCCGGCGUCCCUUCAUUGGUGUGCGUCGGGAACCCAGACUUUUACCUUGAGAAAAUUAGAGUGUUCAAAGCAGGCCUUAUGCCCGAAUACAUUAGCAUGGAAUAAUAAAAUAGGACGUGCGGUUCUAUUUUGUUGGUUUCUAGAGUCGCCGUAAUGAUUAAUAGGGAUAGUUGGGGGCAUUGGUAUUGAGUCGCUAGAGGUGAAAUUCUUGGAUUGAUUCAAGACCGACUAUUGCGAAAGCAUUUGCCAAGGAUGUUUUCAUUAAUCAAGAACNAAGGUUAGGGGAUCGAAGA